rnacentral:tRNA from 1 species
GCGGGUGUGGUUCACCGGUAGAAUGCCUCCUUGCCAAGGAGGAGAUAGAGGGUUCGACUCCCUUCACCCGCU